rnacentral:tRNA from 1 species
GCCAGCAUGGUGUAGUGGUUUGAGUGUUGGACUACCACUCUGGAGACUUGGGUUUGAUUCCCCACUUUGCCA